CUGAGCUACGGCACACAUGCAUCAGCUGGCUUCAGUAGUAGGCUUUGUGCAUUUGUAAUGCUUUGCGGUGUUUGCUUUUAUUUCCCCCAGCUGAGAGGAAACUCAACUCUGCAGGAAUGCAAGAGUAUCCUGAAAGAAUUCUACUUUCAUCAUCCAAAUGUAACUUGUCAAGUCAACUUCAAAGCGACUACAAUUCGACGAAUCCUUAUGCCGGUUUGGUUUGAAUGAAACGAAAGCAACGAUGCUUAAAUGAAGCAUUAAGCGGAUAAAUGAUGGAGAAAAAAAAAUCAAUUCUGAUGGGAAAUAAAAUGCCCCCGGCCCCGGUGUGGUUCUGGAAAGCAGAAGCUGCGAUUUCGGGAGCGUUUGAUUUUAAUUGAAAGCAUCAUAUUUCAUACAAUACAUGGGUGUUUGUGUGCCAUGGACAGGUGGUAGUGAUUGAAAGACGGCAAACAAGUUGUGAAAUUGGCUCCAUGGUGUGUUAUUAACAACAGAUUUCAACGCUACAGUUGAUGUACUUUAUAUCGUUCCCGUGUCCAACAAUACUACAAAACUAUAAAUCACCAAAACAGUAACACUCAAAACGGAUGCAGCAAUUACAAUGAACAUCCCGCUUGGUGUACAACCCGCUGCAAAUAAUGCAUUGCACCGCUGCUGUGGUGUGACUUAUGGUGCGAUAAAGCCAGCAACACGCCGGACAGAAUGAUUUAGUGCGUUUAUGUACGGUCAUUUGGUUUUAGUGUGGUGCCCACCACUAAAUCGGACAGAAACAAAAGCUAAACUUUCAGGUUCAACAGCAACAACAAAAAAGGCCUAAUCAAUUGAGUGGAGUCGAGUCGAAAUUGUGUAGACAAUACUGGAGCCUGUGGGUCUGUGUGUGUGUGUUGCUCGACUUUAUCGCGCCCGAAGAAUAAUAACCAAAAA